rnacentral:rRNA from 1 species
AUUGAACGCUGGCGGCAGGCCUAACACAUGCAAGUCGAACGGUAGCACAGAGAGCUUGCUCUCGGGUGACGAGUGGCGGACGGGUGAGUAAUGUCUGGGAAACUGCCUGAUGGAGGGGGAUAACUACUGGAAACGGUAGCUAAUACCGCAUAACGUCGCAAGACCAAAGAGGGGGACCUUCGGGCCUCUUGCCAUCAGAUGUGCCCAGAUGGGAUUAGCUAGUAGGUGGGGUAACGGCUCACCUAGGCGACGAUCCCUAGCUGGUCUGAGAGGAUGACCAGCCACACUGGAACUGAGACACGGUCCAGACUCCUACGGGAGGCAGCAGUGGGGAAUAUUGCACAAUGGGCGCAAGCCUGAUGCAGCCAUGCCGCGUGUAUGAAGAAGGCCUUCGGGUUGUAAAGUACUUUCAGCGGGGAGGAAGGUGUUGUGGUUAAUAACCRCAGCAAUUGACGUUACCCGCAGAAGAAGCACCGGCUAACUCCGUG